rnacentral:rRNA from 1 species
UACAGAGGGGGCAAGCGUUGUUCGGAAUUACUGGGCGUAAAGGGCGCGUAGGCGGCCUGCUAAGUCGAACGUGAAAUCCCUGGGCUCAACCCAGGAACUGCGUCCGAUACUGGUUGGCUUGAAUCCGGGAGAGGGACGUGGAAUUCCAGGUGUAGCGGUGAAAUGCGUAGAUAUCUGGAGGAACACCGGUGGCGAAGGCGGCAUCCUGGACCGACACUGACACUGAGGAGCGAAAGCCAGGGGAGCAAACGGG